CACAGGAAAGGGGAGUCGUGUCGGUGGUUAGAGGGGGUGGCAGGAAGGCGCCACCUAGUUCAGAGCUGGGCUUCGUCGUGCUGUGUUUUGGGGAAAGGAGACUUUUGGCUCGUCAGCGAGGUGCCACAAAUGCGCCCCAGAGAAGGAGGGACACGGAGGUCACCCCACGUUCCGGGACACUACGCCACAGGCAGUGUCAACAGACAGUUUGGGCAAAUCGCUGUGGAGCCGAAGCCAGCAGAGAGAAGACGUGCCCAGGAGGGGAGGCCCAGCUGCCCUUGGGAAUGGACCUGCUCUUCCUGCCCCUGAGCUCCUGCCCCACACCAGGCUCGUGCACACCGUCCUUUAAGGGGCGCCUGGGUGGCGCAGUCGGUUAAGCAUCUGACAUCAGCC